CCACGUCCGAGCUGUUCCCGGCGCUCUCCAUGGUCCUCUGCGCGCGCUUCCACGUUCUUGGCGGACUGGGUGGCUGCUAUGCACCGCUGGGGUCUUUCUGUUUGUCUGUCUCUCUGUUUGUCUGUCUCUCUAUCCGGCGUCUCCUGAUACGUCUCAGGCGCUGGACGAACCUCAGCGGAAACUCGAAGUGCUGAAGAAUUUGCUGGUGAUGGGGAGCAUGGGCAUCGAAGUCAGCGUUUGGAGGGCAGCCACUCGAAAACAGUAUGAAGUAUCAUUUAACAGUAUGAUGUAUCAUUUAAGCUUUCAAAUUGCUUGAACUGUUUAGGAAAGUGUGAAAAUGUUAGGUGUAAAAAAUGGAAGAACUUGUCUUGAGCCGGGGCGAGUACUCCUCUCAACUUUCCACCUUUGAGUUGUGUUUUGCAGGAGAGGGAGUUUCCCAGCUGCACCUGGUCAGCAAUUAGCGGGUCCUUCUACAUAAGGCGGAUGGAGAACGCACCACGAUGCCGGAUGACUGCUACAGCUUGGUUUUUUCGACGUCUCAGGAUGCUGCGAUGCCCCAAUAUUCUUCACUCGUGCUCCGUAGGAUUACCGCACUCCUCUGAGACACGUUCUCCAUUCACCCUGACCAACCCGCUCUGCUCACCUCACGCUCCCCCCCCCCCCCCCACCCCCCCCCCACCCC